UUGAGCAGUGUUUAGCAACCAAUUUUCCUUCCUAGUGUGCGUGGAUCCCGUAGAGUACUACGGAUGCGUAGGGGUGCUAAUACCUUCCCUUCGCAUAACCGACUCCCGAAUCCAUUCUCUUUGGUCGCGAGACCAUGUUCUUUCCCAGGUUUACUUCGAGCGUUUCCUUUCCCUCUUUUGGGAUAAAUAACGCACGGUGG
rnacentral:lncRNA from 1 species